rnacentral:rRNA from 1 species
UACGUAGGAUGCAAGCGUUGUCCGGAUUUAUUGGGCGUAAAGAGUUCGUAGGCGGUUCGUUAAGUCUGAUGUUAAAGAUCGGGGCCCAACCCUGAGAGUGCAUUGGAUACUGGCGAACUGGAGUGCAGUAGAGGCGAGUGGAAUUCCCAGUGUAGCGGUGAAAUGCGUAGAUAUUGGGAAGAACACCGGUGGCGUAGGCGACUCGCUGGGCUGUAACUGACGCUGAGGAACGAAAGCCAGGGGAGCGAAUGGG